CGAACGCNGGCGGUGCGCCUAACGCAUGCAAGUCGAACGAGAAAGGUAGCUUCGGUUACCAAGUAAAGUGGCAAACGGCUGAGUAACACGUAAGUAAUCUGCCCCGGAGCGGGGGACAAUCACGAGAAAUCGUGCCUAAUACCCCGUACGUCCCAGCGAGCACGCUUGCUGGGGGAAAGACUUCGGUCGCUCUGGGAGGAGCUUGCGGCCUAUCAGGUUGUUGGUGGGGUAAUGGCCUACCAAGCCUAAGACGGGUACCCGGUGUGAGAGCACGAACGGGCAGAGGGGGACUGAGACACGGCCCCCACUCCUACGGGAGGCAGCAGCGGGGAAUAUUGCGCAAUGGGCGAAAGCCUGACGCAGCGACACCGCGUGGAGGAUGACGGCUUUCGAGUUGUAAACUCCUUUUCUCAGGGAAGAGAACGGACGGUACCUGAGGAAUAAGCAUCGGCUAACUACGUGCCAGCAGCCGCGGUAAUACGUAGGAUGCGAGCGUUGUCCGGAUUUACUGGGCGUAAAGGACGAGUAGGCGGCCCACCAAGUCUCAUGUGAAAUCUCCUGGCUUAACUGGGAGCGGUCAUGGGAAACUGGUAGGCUUGAGGUCAGCAGAGGAAAGCGGAAUUCCCGGAGUAGCGGUGGAAUGCGUAGAUACCGGGAGGAACACCAGAGGCGAAGGCGGCUUUCUGGGCUGCACCUGACGCUGAGGCGUGAAAGCAUGGGGAGCGAACCGGAUUAGAUACCCGGGUAGUCCAUGCCCUAAACGAUGGAUACUAGAUAUUGGGGGUAUCGACCCCCUCAGUGUCGUAGUUAACGCGAUAAGUAUCCCGCCUGGGGAGUACGGCCGCAAGGCUAA
rnacentral:rRNA from 1 species